UCCCAGACUCCUACGGGAGGCAGCAGUGGGGGAUAUUGCACAAUGGGGGGAACCCUGAUGCAGCGACGCCGCGUGGGUGAAGGAGCGUUUCGGCGCGUAAAGCCCUAUCGGCAGGGAAGAAGCAAGACGGUACCUGACUAAGAAGCCCCGGCUAACUACGUGCCAGCAGCCGCGGGAAUACGUAGGGGGCGAGCGUUAUCCGGAUUCACUGGGUGUAAAGGGAGCGUAGACGGCCAAGCAAGCCGGGGGUGAAAGCCCGGGGCCCAACCCCGGGACUGCCCUUGGAACUGCUUGGCUGGAGUGCGGGAGGGGCAGGCGGAAUUCCUGGUGUAGCGGUGAAAUGCGUAGAUAUCAGGAGGAACACCGGCGGCGAAGGCGGCCUGCCGGACCGCUACUGACGUUGAGGCCCGAAAGCGUGGGGAGCAAACAGGAUUAGAUACCCUCGUA
rnacentral:rRNA from 1 species